UUUUAGAUAUAUUAUUAUUCAUUUUAUUAUUAUUAUUAUCAUAUAACUUUUUCUUUCUUUUUUUUUUCUUAUUCAUGCUUUCAUGUGUGCGCCAUAACACAAACAUUUCACAACAAGGAUGAACUUGUCACCAUUUAGCCCCAAUCUUUCUUACUUAUACAUGCCGGGGGCGUAGAGCCGUAGCAGGCACACCCGGACUUCCAUAAACAGUCAUAGUGCCAGGGGCGUAGAGCCGUAGCAGGCACACCUGGACUCACAUAGGCUAUCAUGACAUACAAGGGCUAAUGGAUCAUUCAACAUUCAUCCACAUCAACAACAAAGUAUGCAAUGCAACAUAUUCGUGAAUUCUAAUGCAAACAACCUAAUAUUGCAUGGCAUAAUGAUGCAUGGGCAAUGCUUUA
rnacentral:lncRNA from 1 species